rnacentral:rRNA from 1 species
UCUGAAUAGAUGUCGUCUGAGUCCUAUCGAAUUGAACUAAAAACUUUCAACAACGGAUCUCUUGGUUCUGGCAUCGAUGAAGAACGCAGCGAAAUGCGAUAAGUAAUGUGAAUUGCAGAAUUCAGUGAAUCAUCGAAUCUUUGAACGCACAUUGCGCCCC